GACGAACGCUGGCGGCGUGCUUAACACAUGCAAGUCGAGCGGUAAGGCCCUUUCGGGGGUACACGAGCGGCGAACGGGUGAGUAACACGUGGGUGACCUGCCCUCAGCUCUGGGAUAAGCCUGGGAAACCGGGUCUAAUACCGGAUAUGACUCCAUGACGCAUGUUGUGGGGUGGAAAGCCUUGUGCGGCUGAGGAUGGGCCCGCGGCCUAUCAGCUUGUUGGUGGGGNGAUGGCCACCAAGGCGACGACGGGUAGCCGGCCUGAGAGGGCGACCGGCCACACUGGGACUGAGACACGGCCCAGACUCCUACGGGAGGCAGCAGUGGGGAAUCUUGCGCAAUGGGCGAAAGCCUGACGCAGCGACGCCGCGUGAGGGAUGACGGCCUGGUGUAA
rnacentral:rRNA from 1 species